rnacentral:lncRNA from 1 species
AAAAUCAUCCCCCAGCGGGAAGGACACCGUUGCCCACCAUGAUUGAAACUAACUAAAUCCUUUUGUCUGCUGCAGGAAAAUAAAGGUUGACGAUGGCAGCAGAACGCGAUGCCAGAAAGGUCACCAAAACCGGGGUAGAAAAUUUUCUGCCGUUGUCAAAUAUUUUCUCGGAGGAACGAGGAAACAAAUUCAAAUAUGUCUUAGUUUAGAUAGGCGCCCACCUGUAUAACGAGAGGAAUAAUUUUCAGUCUUAGUUUAAAUAGGCGCCCACCUGUAUAACGAGGGGAAUAAUUUUCAGUCAUAGUUUAAAUAGGCGCCCACCUGUAUAACGAGAGGAAUAAUUUUCAAUCUUAGUUUAAAUAGGCGCCCACCUAUUUAACGAGAGGAAUAAUUUUCAUGUCUUAGUUUAAAUAGGCGCCCACCUGUAUAACGAGAGAAAUAAUUUUCAGUCUUAGUUUAAAUAGGCGCCCACCUGUAUAACGAGAGGAAUAAUUUUCAAUCUUAGUUUAAAAAGGCUGCCACCUGUAUAACGAGAGGAAUAAUUUCAUGUCUUAGUUUAAAUAGGCGCCCACCUGUAUAACGAGAGGAAUAUUUUUAUGUUUUAGUUUAAAUAUUUCAGGUUUUGAGAGAAGUAACCCCACCGGAAGGUAGAAGGUUACAACAGGAAUAUCCAGCCUGUAACAAUAAAAAUCCCCAGCGCCGGGAAGCAGAGGGCGGCAAACUCAGACACACGAGUCAAAAGGACGCGUAAGGACGCAUUUUGAAAGAAGCAGCUUGUGAACAUUGAGUCAUGCCCAGCGUGGCAAAUCUUAUGAAGAGAGCCAUACCGCCGAAGGAACCAUUGAAAGGCUUGAUGAAGAAGGCCAUGUCCCCAGCGGAUCAAGCAAAAUGAAAACUGGUACUCAGAGGAGCAAAAGGCCCGUAACAUCCCUCAAGUUCACAAAAUAAAAGCAU